GAUGAACGCUGGCGGCGUGCCUAAUACAUGCAAGUCGAGCGAACAGACGAGGAGCUUGCUCCUCUGACGUUAGCGGCGGACGGGUGAGUAACACGUGGAUAACCUACCUAUAAGACUGGGAUAACUUCGGGAAACCGGAGCUAAUACCGGAUAAUAUAUUGAACCGCAUGGUUCAAUAGUGAAAGACGGUUUUGCUGUCACUUAUAGAUGGAUCCGCGCCGCAUUAGCUAGUUGGUAAGGUAACGGCUUACCAAGGCAACGAUGCGUAGCCGACCUGCGAGUGUGAUCGGCCACCCUGGAACUGAGACACGGUCCAGACUCCUACGGGAGGCAGCAGUAGGGAAUCUUCCGCAAUGGGCGAAAGCCUGACGGAGCAACGCCGCGUGAGUGAUGAAGGUCUUCGGAUCGUAAAACUCUGUUAUUAGGGAAGAACAAAUGUGUAAGUAACUAUGCACGUCUUGACGGUACCUAAUCAGAAAGCCACGGCUAACUACGUG
rnacentral:rRNA from 1 species